UGAAACUUAGAGUAUGGUACAUUAUACAAGGAAACUAGCGACAUCUAUUGACUGUUCGGCAGCACUAUUUAAUUAACUUUUUCCUCAGAAGAUGGCAGAACGUAAAAUUUUUAUGCAAAAAGAAUAGAAUGGCUAUAAAAAUAACUAAAAUCAUUUUAUUUAGAACAAAAUUCAAUUGCUUUUAUAAAUAUAUAAUCUAUUCGAUGAAACGAUUUUUAAGUGCUAUAUACAGCGGAAAAUGAAACGUUUUCUCUCAUAAGUGUCAGUACCAGUGUUGCCGUUCUAAGAACGUUGUCUCAAUCUAGGGAAUUUAGGGGAACGUUUGGGGGAUAAACAAAUUCAGGGUACGUCUAGCUACGUUUUGAAAAUAGCAGAAAGUAUCAAAUCAGCCAUACUGGUCGAUUUGAUACUGAUUCUGAAAGAAACGAUGUGCCCAACAAUUUUUUUUUCGUUUUCGAUUUUGUUAGUUUUGCUAGUGACUUUUAAUUUUGGAAAAAGGCAACCCUGUCCAAUGCGAGAUAUGACAGGUCACAGGAUAAUCCGUUUGUUUUCUGAAAUUUGAAUUAUUCUUGAUUUCUUGAGUUUGUUGUUAAUUUUAAAAUGGCUUCUAGGAGGAAGGUGUAUUGUGUUUUUGGAUGUAGUGAAAUGGGAGCAAUUAUGCAUCGUUUCCCUCACCCUUCAAGACGACGAGUUGUUUGCUAUCGGGAUGUCAAUUGUUGGUGAAUGACUAAAAGAUCUUGAGCCUGACAUGAUCUAAAGAAACAAGAGAGACUGUGAUUACCAUUUCAAGCCUGAGCACAAAGUUUCAGGUCACCGAUUACUCCAUUUAUCUGUUCCAUCAAUCUACUAGUGGUAUAUUUCAUUCUGCGAGUAUAGCAGUUUACAUGGAACAUAACUAUUCUCCGCCAAGGAUGUGGCCUUAUGAGACAAGGGCAAAUGAAGAUAAUGAUGUCCCCAUUAAAUCAGCAAAUUUUAGAUAAAGGUCGCACAAAACAUUGUGAUGAAUACUUAGUAAAAAAAUAUAAAGUCCCAAAUUGAACAGAAAAAUUGAAGUUAAAGAAAAGUAUGGCUAAAGAGAGAAGUUUUAAAUUGCCAAUGCCGAAAAUUAGUUGCUGGUCAGGCAUUUCAUAAAGUCACAGCAAAAAUGUCAGAAGCUGGAAUUUUUUU